rnacentral:lncRNA from 10 species
CAGGGUUUCAUCGUGUUACUCAGGAUGGUCUCUAUCUCCUGACCUCGUGAUCUGCCCGCCUUGGCCUCCCAAAGUGCUGGGAUUACAGGCGUGAGCCACUGCGCCUGGCCAAGUUUUAUUUGAAUGACUCAUUAUUUAAUGAACCACAUCAUAAUUCUAUGGUUAACUUUUUGAACAGCCAAUCUGUUUUCCAUAGCAGCUGCCUUCCAGCCAUGUAUGAGGGUUUGAAUUCCUCAAAGUUCUUGUCAACACUUACUUUCCUUCUUAGAAAUGUAUUCUUAUACUCAUCCUUGUGGUGUGUAGUGGUAUCUCAUUGUGGUUUUGAUUUGCAAUUCCCUAAUGACUAGUCAAAUCUAAGAACACAAAGAUUUAUCCCUAUGUUUUCAUCUAAGAGUUUUAUGGUUUUAGCCCUUAUAUUUAGGUUACCACAACUAACAUCAUACACAAUGGUGAAAGACUAAAAUCUUUUCCCCUAUGAUCAGGUGGAAGACCACUGAGUAUCAUGUUAGCUGUGGGCUUUUCAUAAAUGUUCUUUAUCAUGUUGAAGAAGUUCCCUUCUAUUCCUAGUUUGCUGAGUGUUUUUAUCACGAAAGGGUAUUAGAUUUUGCCAAAUGACUUUUCUGCAUUAAAUGAGAUGAUCAUGUGUUUUUUUCCUUUCUAUCAAUGUAACUUAUUACAUUGAUUGAUUUUCUUAUGUGAAUGACCCUUGCAUUUCUGGGAUAAAUCACAUAUGGUCAUGAUGUAUAAUGCUUUUAAUACGCUGUUCAGUGUGAUUUGCCAGUAUUUUCUUGAGGACUUUUGUAUCUGUAUUCGUAAGGGACAUUGGCCUGUAGUUUUCAUUUCUUGUGUAUUUUUCUGGCUUUGAUGGCAGUGUAAUACUAGCCUCAUAGAAUGUGUUAGGAAGUCUUUCCUUCCUUUCCAUUUCUUUGAAGAGUUUGAGAAAGAUUGGUGUUAAUUCUUCUUUAAAUGCUUCUAGAAUUUACCAGUAGAAAUUUCUGUUCCUGGGCUUUUCUUUGUUAGGUUUUUGAUUACUGAUUCAAUCUCUUGUUAUAAGUCUAUUCAGAUUUUUUCUUUGUGCGUCAAUUUUGGUAGUUGUGUGUUUCUAGGAAUUUGUCCAUUUCAUCCAGGUAAUCUGAUUUAUGGUGUAUAAUUAUUCAUAGUAUUCUCUUAUAAUCCUUUUUAUUUUUGUAAGGCUGACAGUAAUAUUCCCAUUUUAAUUUCUUAAAUAAAUUGAAUCUUCUUUUUCUUAACCACUAUAGGUAAUGGUUUGCCAAUUUUGGUGAUCUUCUCAAAUAAUCUUUUUUUUUUUUCAUUUUAAUGGUUAUAUUGGUUUCCUAGUCCCUAUUUCAUUUAUCUUAACUAUUAUCUUUUUUUUUUUGGGGGGGGCGACAGGGUCUCACCUUGUCACCCAGACUGGAGUGCAGUGGUACAAGCAUGGAUCGCUGCAGCGAUCAUGUGAUUCUCCCACCUCAGCCCCCUAAGUAGCUGGGACUAUAGGCAUAAGCCACAAUGCCCAGCUAAUUUUUAAAUUUUUUUGUAGAGACGAGGUCUCACUACAUUACCCAGGCAGGUCUCAAACUCCUGGGCUCAAGCAAUCCUCCCACCUUGGCCUCUCAGAGUACUGGGAUUACAGACAUGAGCCACUGUGCCCAACCCUUAGCUAUAAUCUUUACUAUUUCCUUCCUUCUACUAGUUUUCAGUUUACUUUGAUUUCAUUUUUAUAGUUCCUUAAGGUGUAAAGCUGGGUUAUUGAUCUGAGAUCGUUCUUUAUUUAAAAAAAAUAGAUGUUUGCACUUUAAAAAUAUGCAUUUGAGCACCACUUUUGCUGCAUCCCAUAAUUUUUGGUAUGUUGUGUUUUUGUUUUCAUUUGUCUCUUUUUGUUAUAUUAGUUGUUUAAGCAUCUUUCAUUUAAUUUUAACUCAUUUGUGGAUUUUCCAGUUUUACUUCUGUUCUUCAUUUCUACUUUCAUUCCAUUGGAUUUGGAGAAGACACUUCAUAUUGUUUCAAUCUUUUACAAUUUAUUGAGACUUGAUUUGUGGCCUAACGUACAAUCUGUCCUAGAGAAUAGUCUUCCAUGCGCACUGGAGAAUAAUGUGAAUUCUGUUGUUCUUGGGUGUUCUAUAG